rnacentral:lncRNA from 1 species
CAUGAACACAGCUUUAAUUUUGAGAGGUAGACACAGCAAGAUAUGGUGUACGUGGGUGUGAUUCAUACAUAUUAAUGCCCUAAGUGUGUCAUUUGUCUUUACUUGAUGUAAAUUGCAUUUGUCUGUUAGGGCAGAAACUCAACCUACCAUACUUUUAACUAUUAGCAGCUUCAUAUGAGAGCUCUGCAAGGAAGAGCACAAAUUAAAACCAUGUCAGCUGCUGCUCCGGUACAGCACUGGCACCGGGUGCAGGUGCCACGCUCCUGACACAUUAACUGCUCAGCUCGAGCUGCAAACCCCCUGAGAAAUGCAACUCUCCCCAGUAAAUACACACAGUCUUCAGGCUGAAAUGCAUCUGUAACUAUUACUAGCACUCCAUGCUUUUCAGAUUUGCAAUUUUUCAACUUCUAAAUUACGGCACUUACAUUCGUGAAGAAAUCAUCUCAUUUGUACAGUGUUACCAGCCCUCGUGUACCGCAGUAUGAUAAAACAGCUGAACAGAUCACCCCCAGGCAAGACUGCGUGUAUCCUGUUGGUGUACAUUUUAUCUCUGUUCUGAUCCUUUCUCUGCUAGGAAAUUAGAUCAACCCUACCAGAUACGGUAAUUUUCCUCAUGUCAUCUUUUACUGACUAAUUUUUUUUUUCUCCUCCUGUAGGCAAGAAUGAAUCAGAAGCAGCGAUAGCUGGUUUCAAGUGCUUUUAUACUUGGAAGAAUAACUCUUGCACUGAAGAACCAAGUCUCCUCUGAUGCUGUCCAAACAACUACCAAACCCAGGACCAUUCAAAUCCUCACCUUGGACUCUGCUUCUUCAAUUCCUACAUCACAACAGCAAAAAGCACAGCAGCCACCCUUUGUCUAUGCAACCGAGAGCAGCUUGGGAUGAAAACCUCUACAGGGAAUCAAGAACAGUGCUUGAAUCCAAGUGCUGCAGUUUCUCUCUUACACGCACACACCUCACCCAUUAUCCCCCAGUAUGAUCUCUGCUCCUGGGUGAGAAAUCCAGUUCUGCUGCUGUUUAUCAUGGAGAGACUC